CUUCGAAGGCUGUAGUGUUGAUGUUUUCAAGCUGUUGUUGCUUUGGCUUCUGGGGGAGAGAUGGCAGAAGGAUGGUGUGUGAAAAAUGUGAAAAGAAACUUGGUACUGUUAUCACUCCAGAUACAUGGAAAGAUGGUGCUAGGAAUACCACAGAAAGUGGUGGAAGAAAGCUAAAUGAAAAUAAAGCUUUGACUUCAAAAAAAGCCAGAUUCGAUCCAUAUGGAAAGAGUAAGUUCUUCACUUGCAGAAUUGUAAAAGUUCUGUGCACCAACCAGGUUCUCAUUAUUGCCAGGGCUGUGCCUACAAAAAAAGAUAUCUGUGCGAUGUGUGGAAAAAAGGUUUUAGAUACCAAAAACUACAAGCAAACAUCUGUCUAGAUGUAUUGAUGAAGUUUUCUGGCUUUCUAUGUGAUUUAACUUUCUGCUUUGAAUUUUCGAGGCAUAACAUAGAUGUUCAAUUUACAAAAUAAUAUGUUUUAAGACACAUAAGUUUAAACCAGGGAAGUUGAUUGAUAUUCAUUCUUUUGCUCUCAAGAAGUUCUGAACAGCAACAAUGUAACUAGUCUUCUGCCUUAAGUGGUUAUUUUCUCUACAAGCAUUUUAUUGAACUAGAAUAAGUGGCAAAUUUAAAGAAAACCAUUUCCCAGUUCUGUAUGCACUUUUA